rnacentral:rRNA from 1 species
AUGGCUCAGAACGAACGCUGGCGGCGCGUUUAAGCAUGCAAGUCGAGCGGCAAGGGGCUUCGGCCCCUAGAGCGGCGGACGGGUGAGUAACACGUGGAUAAUCUGCCUUCAGUUGGGAAUAGCUAGUGGAAACACUAGAUAAUGCCGAAUACGAUUGGCUUGCCGAAAGGCCUGCCAAGGAAAGCAGCCAAGGCUGCGCUGGAAGAUGAGUCCGCGUCCCAUUAGCUAGACGGCGGGGUAAAGGCCCACCGUGGCGAUGAUGGGUAGCCGGCCUGAGAGGGUGAACGGCCACAUUGGGACUGAGAUACGGCCCAGACUCCUACGGGAGGCAGCAGCUAAGAAUCUUCCGCAAUGGACGAAAGUCUGACGGAGCGACGCCGCGUGAAACGAUGAAGGCCGUGAGGUUGUAAAGUUCUUUUCAAGAAGAAGAAUAAUCCCUGCAGGGAAUGGCAGGGGGAUGACGUGAAUCUUGGAAUAAGCCCCGGCUAACUACGUGCCAGCCGCUGC